rnacentral:rRNA from 1 species
GGACCCGCACAAGCGGUGGAGCAUGUGGUUUAAUUCGAUGCAACGCGAAAAACCUUACCUACUCUUGACAUACUUGGGAGCUCUUGUAAUGAGAGUGUGCCUUUUGGAACCAAGAUACAGGUGCUGCAUGGCUGUCGUCAGCUCGUGUCGUGAGAUGUUCCGUUAAGUCGGAUAACGAGCGCAACCCUUACCCUUAUUUGCCAGCGAUUCGGUCGGGAACUAUAAGGGGACUGCCGGUGAUAAACCGGAGGAAGGUGAGGACGACGUCAAGUCAUCAUGGCCCUUACGAGUAGGGCUACACACGUGCUACAAUGGGGAAUACAGACGGACGCUAAGCCGCGAGGUGGUGCUAAUCCACAAAACCGGGCCCAGUUCGGAUUGGAGUCUGCAACUCGACUCCAUGAAGUUGGAAUCGCUAG